GAUGAACGCUAGCGGCAGGCCUAAUACAUGCAAGUCGAGGGGUAGAAGAGGCUUGCUUCUUUGAGACCGGCGCACGGGUGCGUAACGCGUAUGCAACCUACCUUCAUCUGGGGGAUAGCCCGGAGAAAUCCGGAUUAAUACCGCAUAAAAUCACAGGAUGGCAUUAUCCAAUGAUCAAACAUUUAUGGGAUGGAGAUGGGCAUGCGUGUCAUUAGCUAGUUGGCGGGGUAACGGCCCACCAAGGCGACGAUGACUAGGGGAUCUGAGAGGAUGGCCCCCCACACUGGUACUGAGACACGGACCAGACUCCUACGGGAGGCAGCAGUAAGGAAUAUUGGUCAAUGGAGGCAACUCUGAACCAGCCAUGCCGCGUGCAGGAAGACUGCCCUAUGGGUUGUAAACUGCUUUUAUUCGGGAAUAAACCUUAUUACGUGUAAUAAGCUGAAUGUACCGAAGGAAUAAGGAUCGGCUAACCCCGUGCCAGCAGCCGCCGUAACAC
rnacentral:rRNA from 1 species